rnacentral:rRNA from 1 species
UACGUAGGGUGCGAGCGUUGCCCGGAUUUAUUGGGCGUAAAGGGCGCGUAGGCGGCUCGGCACGUCCGUUGUGAAAUCGCCCGGCUCAACUGGGCGGGGUCGGCGGAUACGGCCGAGCUGGAGCAAGCUAGGGGGUAAUGGAAUUCCCGGUGUAGUGGUGGAAUGCGUAGAUAUCGGGAGAAACACCAGUGGCGAAGGCGGUUACCUGGAGCUUUGCUGACGCUGAUGCGCGAAAGCGUGGGUAGCAAACAGG